UACGUAGGGUGCGAGCGUUUGUCCGGAAUUACUGGGCGUAAAGAGCUCGUAGGUGGUUUGUCGCGUUGUUCGUGAAAACUCACAGCUUAACUGUGGGCGUGCGGGCGAUGACGGCAGACUGGAGUACUGCAGGGGAGACUGGAAGUUCCUGGUGUAGCGGUGGAUGCGCAGAUAUCAGGAGGAACACCGGUGGCGAAGGCGGGUCUCUGGCAGUAACUGACGCUGAGGAGCGAAAGCGUGGGAGCGAACAGG
rnacentral:rRNA from 1 species